rnacentral:lncRNA from 1 species
CAGCCAGCCAUGAUGUACUUCAGCACAAUGCCCGUACCCUCCAGGCUGCCACGCACGGCGAGGGCGGCGCUGCUGCAGCCGAAGAGCAGAGCGACAGCACGGCACUGCAGCUGGGAGAUGGUCUGCCCGUCCAGCAGGUGGGCACCGGCUCCGUGUCCCGCGUAGAUGUAGAGAUCGUGCUCCAGCAGCGCUGCCUGCAUCUGCUCCUGGCUGGGGACUGAUCCUGUC